GACGAACGCUGGCGGCGUGCCUAAUACAUGCAAGUAGAACGCUGAAGACUUUAGCUUGCUAAAGUUGGAAGAGUUGCGAACGGGUGAGUAACGCGUAGGUAACCUGCCUACUAGCGGGGGAUAACUAUUGGAAACGAUAGCUAAUACCGCAUAACAGCAUUUAACCCAUGUUAGAUGCUUGCAAGGAGCAAUUGCUUCACUCGUAGAUGGACCUGCGUUGUAUUAGCUAGUUGGUGAGGUAACGGCUCACCAAGGCGACGAUACAUAGCCGACCUGAGAGGGUGAUCGGCCACACUGGGACUGAGACACGGCCCAGACUCCUACGGGAGGCAGCAGUAGGGAAUCUUCGGCAAUGGGGGCAACCCUGACCGAGCAACGCCGCGUGAGUGAAGAAGGUUUUCGGAUCGUAAAGCUCUGUUGUAAGAGAAGAACGUGUGUGAGAGUGGAAAGUUCACACAGUGACGGUAACUUACCAGAAAGGGACAGCUAACUACGUGCCAGCAGCCGCCGUAAUAC
rnacentral:rRNA from 1 species